UCAGACACGUCAGAGUUUGAUCCUGGCUCAGGAUGAACGCUAGCUACAGGCUUAACACAUGCAAGUCGAGGGGCAGCAUGGGCUUAGCUUGCUAAGCCCGAUGGCGACCGGCGCACGGGUGAGUAACACGUAUCCAACCUUCCGGUAACUCCGGUAUAGCCUUUCGAAAGAAAGAUUAAUCCCGGAUAGUAUGGUGAUUCCGCAUGGUUUCUCCAUUAAAGGAUCCGGUUACCGAUGGGGAUGCGUUCCAUUAGGCAGUUGGCGGGGUAACGGCCCACCAAACCUACGAUGGAUAGGGGAGCUGAGAGGCUUAUCCCCCACAUUGGGACUGAGACACGGCCCAA
rnacentral:rRNA from 1 species